rnacentral:rRNA from 1 species
GAUGAACGCUGGCGGCGUGCCUAAUACAUGCAAGUCGAGCAAACAGAUGAGGAGCUUGCUCCUCUGACGUUAGCGGCGGACGGGUGAGUAACACGUGGAUAACCUACCUAUAAGACUGGGAUAACUUCGGGAAACCGGAGCUAAUACCGGAUAAUAUAUUGAACCGCAUGGUUCAAUAGUGAAAGACGGUUUUGCUGUCACUUAUAGAUGGAUCCGCGCCGCAUUAGCUAGUUGGUAAGGUAAUGGCUUACCAAGGCAACGAUGCGUAGCCGACCUGAGAGGGUGAUCGGCCACACUGGAACUGAGACACGGUCCAGACUCCUACGGGAGGCAGCAGUAGGGAAUCUUCCGCAAUGGGCGAAAGCCUGACGGAGCAACGCCGCGUGAGUGAUGAAGGUCUUCGGAUCGUAAAACUCUGUUAUUAGGGAAGAACAAAUGUGUAAGUAACUAUGCACGUCUUGACGGUACCUAAUCAGAAAGCCACGGCUAACUACGUG